CCCCACCUGUGGGCUGGAGAUCAGCUGCCCACAACAGCAGGGACCAGAGAAAGAGCGGGAAGGAGAUCAGAGAGGGAAAAUCUAGCUAUUACUAAUUGCAGGAGAACUUCGCAAUGAAUUUCCGUGAUCCGAACAACUAUUAUAACCUCAUGUAGUGUUGAUGGACUAAGGCACUGACAGAAACUUGAGAGCUUGUUUAAUUUGGUCUAAGAAGAUAAUGACGCUGUCUAUUUGAAAAAGAUAACGUACAAUGGUCCUAUGGUCCUCCUCUCCGGCAGAAGAGUUGGGGCCAAAAUGAGCUGAGGUGGUUCCCCUGUGCAGUCAGUUACAAAGUAUUACAUUUUUCUGAAUCUAUCCAUAACUUUCAUCCUUGUAUUCAGUAUGGGUGCUGAAUUUCUCCCUUCAUCCCAUAAUGAAACAUUUCCUAAAAAACUGAAACCCCAUUGUUUUUGUUUUGAAGUGGCAAACAUGCAUUCAGUACAAGAUGUAUGAAAAAUCUGUAACAGAAUUAAUACCUUUUGACUUCCUUAAUUUUGGAUUAUA